AUACGGAGGAUGCGAGCGUUAUCCGGAUUUAUUGGGUUUAAAGGGAGCGUAGGUGGGAUAUUAAGUCAGCUGUGAAAGUUUGGGGCUCAACCUUAAAAUUGCAGUUGAUACUGGUUUCCUUGAGUACGGUACAGGUGGGCGGAAUUCGUGGUGUAGCGGUGAAAUGCUUAGAUAUCACGAAGAACUGCGAUCGCGAAGGCAGCUCACCGGGCCGGAACUGACACUGAUGCUCGAAAGUGCGGGUAUCAAACAGGAUUAGAUACCCUGGUAGUCCGCACAGUAAACGAUGAAUACUCGCUGUUUGCGAUACACUGUAAGCGGCCAAGCGAAAGCGUUAAGUAUUCCACCUGGGGAGUACGCCGGCAACGGUGAAACUCAAAGGAAUUGACGGGG
rnacentral:rRNA from 1 species